GCUCACGCUAAUAUAACGCAUAAUGCUGCAAUUGAUAAUGGAUUAAAAUCUACUGAUGAUUCACCUCCAAGGAUGGAUAAAUGUUUGGAAGAAUUUUUUUCAGUUUGUAAUCAGAUUGAACUUAAUCUG